AGUGGUCAUGCAUACCUCAAUGGGACAAAGUAUCUCCUCUGAGACUUCAGAAAAUCCUUUUCUUCUGGAGCCACUCUGUUCUGGAUUACCCUGAGAUUUUAAUGAGAUAAAGUCUAGAGAUGUAUAUAACUUUUCUGCAUCAUUUUGGAAUUUUAAUGAGAUGAAACGAGACCCAGAGACACCUGUUCUAGACCACUUUGGGAUCUUAAUGAGGAUGCAAACAGGUUGAAGACAAGAGCUCUCUUUAAUGGAACCUGAACAGUGCCUAACUCCUGUAGAUAUUCACUGAAUGUUAAAUAACAACAGUGAUCAUGUAAUAAUGAUGCCCAAUUCACUUGGGAGAGAAUACCAAAUAGCUUGGAAUUUUCCUGUUACUGCCAGCAUGGCCUGAGAGCAUCCUGAGAGAGGUCAAAAGUCCGUCUGACUCACCUGUGCUGAGUGACUUGAAUGCCAUCUAAUCUAACUUCAAGAUGAUACAACAGAGGCACAGACAGGCUUACUCAGAUCACAUUGCCAGUGAAUAAUGGAUCCAGGAUUCAAGUUGGCAUUUUGACCCAAAUCUGCAGCCUUAACCAUGAUGACACACUGUCCCU
rnacentral:lncRNA from 1 species